rnacentral:rRNA from 1 species
UACGUAGGGGGCAAGCGUUGUCCGGAAUUGUUGGGCGUAAAGAGCGUGUAGGCGGUCCGGUAAGUCAGCUGUGAAAGUCAAGGGCUCAACCCUUGAAUGCCGGUUGAUACUGUCGGGCUAGAGUCCGGAAGAGGCGAGUGGAAUUCCCGGUGUAGCGGUGAAAUGCGCAGAUAUCGGGGGGAACACCAAUGGCGAAGGCAGCUCGCUGGGACGGUACUGACGCUGAGACGCGAAAGCGUGGGGAGCAAACAGG